rnacentral:rRNA from 1 species
UAGGGGGCAAGCGUUGUCCGGAUUUAUUGGGCGUAAAGAGCGUGUAGGCGGCUUGGAAGGUCAGCUGUGAAAACUCGAGGCUCAACCUCGAGACGUCGGUUGAAACCACCUGGCUAGAGUCCGGAAGAGGAGAGUGGAAUUCCCGGUGUAGCGGUGAAAUGCGCAGAUAUCGGGAAGAACACCCGUGGCGAAGGCGGCUCUCUGGGACGGUACUGACGCUGAGACGCGAAAGCGUGGGGAGCGAACAGG